rnacentral:rRNA from 1 species
CCUACGGGAGGCAGCAGUGGGGAAUCUUGCGCAAUGGGCGAAAGCCUGACGCAGCAACGCCGCGUGCGGGAAGAAGGCUUUCGGGCUGUAAACCGCUUUCAGCAGGAACGAAAAUGACGGUACCCGCAGAAGAAGGAGCGGCCAACUAUGUGCCAGCAGCCGCGGUGAUACAUAGGCUUCAAGCGUUGUCCGGAUUUAUUGGGCGUAAAGAGUUCGUAGGCGGUCGAGUAAGUCGGGUGUGAAAAUUCUGGGCUCAACCCAGAGACGCCACCCGGAUACUGCUUAACUUGAGUUCGAUAGGGGAGUGGGGAAUUCCUAGUGUAGCGGUGAAAUGCGCAGAUAUUAGGAGGAACACCGGUGGCGAAGGCGCCACUCUGGAUCGAUACUGACGCUGAGGAACGAAAGCAUGGGUAGCAAACAGGAUUAGAUACCCUGGUAGUCCAUGCCGUAAACGGUGGGCACUAGGUGUGGGAUUCUAUUAACGAAUUCCGCGCCGUCGCUAACGCAUUAAGUGCCCCGCCUGGGGAAUCGGUCGCAAGCUAAACUUAAGGAAUUGACCGGNGNGAGAGNGCGAGACGACGACGAGGAGAG